rnacentral:rRNA from 1 species
AUUGAACGCUGGCGGCAUGCUUUACACAUGCAAGUCGAACGGCAGCACGGGAGCAAUCCUGGUGGCGAGUGGCGAACGGGUGAGUAAUAUAUCGGAACAUGUCCGGAAGUGGGGGAUAACGUAGCGAAAGUUACGCUAAUACCGCAUAUGCCCUGAGGGGGAAAGGAGGGGAUCGUAAGACCUUUCGCUUUCGGAGUGGCCGAUAUCAGAUUAGCUAGUUGGUGAGGUAAAGGCUCACCAAGGCGACGAUCUGUAGCGGGUCUGAGAGGAUGAGCCGCCGCACUGGGACUGAGACACGGCCCAGACUCCUACGGGAGGCAGCAGUGGGGAAUUUUGGACAAUGGGCGCAAGCCUGAUCCAGCCAUGCCGCGUGAGUGAAGAAGGCCUUCGGGUUGUAAAGCUCUUUCAGCCGGAAAGAAAUUGCACUGAUUAAUACUCAGUGUAGAUGACGGUACCGGAAGAAGAAGCACCGGCUAACUACGUGCCAGCCGCCGCCGUAAAAC